AUUGCCUGCAAACUCUGUGAAGCUGUAAGAUUAAAAUUUUUUGUACUUAUUCUAAGUGAGAUCUCUGUAUCCUGACAUGUUGCACCUGGUCCCACUUCAAUCACUCUCUGUGUUGGACUUUAUAAAUUUUGCCAGAGUUCAUGUGAAGAGAAAUUAUGUUGAAUCAUCUCAAAUUUCAAUAAAUUGAUCAUUUCUAUUACUUUUUUUGUUUGGGUAAUUAUUUUAGGAUCACCUAUAAAAAAAUUUACAGACGAUCGUCUAGUUUAGAUUUUGUAAAAUUCUGCAUGUUUGAACUUUGAAGUCUUCUGCAAAUGUUUCAAUUCUAGAGAUGUAAAUUGUUAUACACGCGUUUUCUGUUCUCCUCUUUUGCAUUUCUAGGUAUAUGUGGCUAAAACAUAUUGCAUUUUUUUGUUUAGUUGUUCAAGGAGGCAAAACUCCAUUGACUGCUGCAUCCUAUGAUUAAUGCUAAUUCUAAAUGGGGCUGUACUGACCAAUAGAGAAUCUGGUUAUUCAUAUUUGUGUUGAAGUUUAUGUUUGUGUUUUAUCCUAGGCAUUUCAAGAUACAAUUCCUAUUUUAGUCAGAAACUAAUGUCUUUUGCAUUUUACCAUCUAAAUAUAUGUGGAACGCAAUCAUCUUUAAUCUUGCAUUGCCUUUAGUAGUUGUAUUUAGUAGUGGUUUCCUCAUAGACUUGGUUGUUUUCAGAUAUGUCCUGCACAGGCGAUAACA
rnacentral:misc_RNA from 1 species